AGAGUUUGAUCCUGGCUCAGAUUGAACGCUGGCGGCGUGCCUAACACAUGCAAGUCGAGCGGUAACAGGUGUAGCAAUACAUGCUGACGAGCGGCGAACGGGUGAGUAAUGCUUUGGAAUCUUCCCAGUAGUGGGGAAUAACCAGUCGAAAGAUUGGCUAAUACCGCAUACGUCUGAAAAGGGAAAGCGGGGGCUCGUAAGACCUCUCGCGCUAUUGGAUGAGCCAAAGUCGGAUUAGCUAGUUGGUGGGGUUAUGGCCUACCCAGGGCCAACAUCCCUAAGCCGGUUCUGAAGAAGGACAACCCAGCCCACACCCGGAAAACUGAAGAACACCNGGUCCCGGGAAACUCCCUAACCGGGGGAGGGGCAGCCAGGUUGGGGGGAAAAUAUUUGGGGAACAAUUGGGGGGGGAACACCCCUGAAUUCCAGCCGAACGCCC
rnacentral:rRNA from 1 species